GCUUUGAAGACCUUGAACUAACAUUGGAAAUUGGUCACGUUACAGUUUUAUCCAAUGAAAAGUAAGCUCGCGCAAGUCACUUUUUUGCGCCUCGUGUAUAAUCUGCGUAUUCAUCAUUAAGAAAGCCCGCCGCACAAUUUGCAGAAAGAGAAGAAAAUGGCAGAACUUCCCGAUUUAUUAGAUUUUGAGGAAAGCGAACUAAUUAUAAUGGCAGCUGAAAUGGAAGACGAUGUGCAUUUAUCACAAAUUGCAGCCGAAAUAGAGGAAGAUAUUCA
rnacentral:lncRNA from 1 species